GUGUUGCUGAGUCUUUUACUUAUGUUUGUAGAUAAAGUUGUAGACUAGAUUUAAUGUAUCAGAAGUUAAGGUGUUGUUGAUAGUGUUGCUGACUUUUAGUCUAACUAGCUAACAGUUAGUCAGUCAGUGAGAAUAACUAGUCCGUAGGUCUGCGGCAAAAGCAGCAUGAUACAACACAUGUUUAAUUCUAUUAACAUAAUUUAACAAUUUGAAAUCUUACAAAAAAUUUAUUUAUUUAUGGUGUUGCUUGUUUUGGUGCUAAAGCUGACUGCCUCUACUUCUAAGUUGUAAACCAUUGUUGUUGAGGUUUGUUUUUGUUGUAGUUGGUUUAAAUAUUGGUAACGUUAAAGGUAACAUCAACACCACCAACGCCAACAACAGCAGCAACAACUGCGUGAACACUCCAAAAAAUAUAAAAAAAAUAAACUGAAAUUAUUACCAACCAACGAAUGGAAACCAAAAUCAUCACAAGCAGAAAAUCAUCGCGUUUCUAGUUUUUUUUACAGUUCGAAACACUUUUAUUUUUCAGUUGAGUGACAAACGGGCAACCGUCUAGUUCACAACGUGUUUUUAUUGUAUUUUUUCGAUUUUCUACUCUUUUUUUCACAUAUAUUUACGUUUAAUCAAAAAAUAUCGAAGAAAAGAAUGUGACCGUGUUAUCGUCAUCGCCGUCGUCGAUGGGAAAUAAAUUUGUUUAAUUUUUGAAAAUAUCAAUUUAAUUGAAUGAAUGCACUAGAAAACGUUUAAUUGAUAUGAAUGAUAACUACUAAAUCAACAGAAUAAAAAACUGAUUGUAACAGAACAAGAGUGUAAAGAAGGAAAAUAUGUAUAUAAAAUAAUAAUAAUUUCUGUGCAAAUACUUCCAUACAACAAUAGUGGUGGCUAGAGAAAUAAGUACACUAAAAUAUCUCCAGUGUUUAAAAAAUAGAAAAAAUAAAUGAAAGUGCGUUAAGUUAAUAAAAAGUAAGAAAGCGUCGUAGGCGAAACCGGACUACAUAAUACCCUUCAUCGAUGUAGUGCAAUUUUCGAAA